AGUGAACGCUGGCGGUAGGCCUAACACAUGCAAGUCGAACGGCAGCACAGUACGAGCUUGCUCUUACGGGUGGCGAGUGGCGUACGUGUCAGGAAUACAUCGUACUCUACUUUUUCGUGUGGCAUCACGUAGCGAAACUUACGCUAAUACCGCAUACCACCUACGGUUGAAAGCAGUGGAUCUUCGGACCUUGCGCGAUUGAAUGCGCCGCUGUCGGAUUAGCUAGUUGGCGGGGUAAAGGCCCACCCAGUCGACGAUCCGUAGCUGGUCUGAGUGGAUGGUAGGCGACACGGGAACGGAGACACGGACAAGACGCCUAAGGGAGGCAGCAGAGGGGAAUAUUGGACAAUGGUCGCAAGCAUGACCCAGUCAGACCGCGUGGGAGAAGGAGGCCUUGGGGGUGUGAUGACCGUUUGUGGGGAAAGAAAAGCAGUAGGUUAAGACCCAGCUGGUGUGACGGUACCGAAAGAAUAAGCACCGGCUAACUUCGUG
rnacentral:rRNA from 1 species